AAAUGUAAAUAAUAAAAACACUGAAACUAAAGGUAAAACCAGAACAAAUGAGGGUUAAAUGUAAAUAAUAAAAACACUGAAACUAAAGGUAAAACCAGAACAAAUGAGGGUUACAUUUAAAUGAUAAAACACUGAAACUAAAGGUAAAACCAGAACAAAUGAGGGUUAAAUUUAAAUAAUAAAAACACUGAAACUAAAGGUAAAACCAGAACAAAUGAGGGUUAAAUUUAAAUAAUAAAAACACUGAAACUAAAGGUAAAACCAGAACAAAUGAGGGUUAAAUUUAAAUAAUAAAAACACUGAAACUAAAGGUAAAACCAGAACAAAUGAGGGUUAAAUUUAAAUAAUAAAAACACUGAAACUAAAGGUAAAACCAGAACAAAUGAGGGUUAAAUUUAAAUAAUAAAAACACUGAAACUAAAGGUAAAACCAGAACAAAUGAGGGUUAAAUUUAAAUAAUAAAAACACUGAAACUAAAGGUAAAACCAGAACAAAUGAGGGUUAAAUUUAAAUAAUAAAAACACUGAAACUAAAGGUAAAACCAGAACAAAUGAGGGUUAAAUUUAAAUAAUAAAAACACUGAAACUAAAGGUAAAACCAGAACAAAUGAGGGUUAAAUUUAAAUGAUAAAACACUGAAACUAAAGGUAAAAAUAUUGGAUAUAUUUAACAAUAUAAAUAAAAAAGGUUU